GAAUUGACGGGGGCCCGCACAAGCAGUGGAGCAUGUGGUUUAAUUCGAAGCAACGCGAAGAACCUUACCGGGGCUUGACAUCCCUCUGACCGGUGUAGAGAUACACCUUCCCUUCGGGGCAGGGGAGACAGGUGGUGCAUGGUUGUCGUCAGCUCGUGUCGUGAGAUGUUGGGUUAAGUCCCGCAACGAGCGCAACCCUUGUCGUUAGUUGCCAGCACUUUGGGUGGGCACUCUAACGAGACUGCCGGUGACAAAUCGGAGGAAGGUGGGGAUGACGUCAAAUCAUCAUGCCCCUUAUGUCCUGGGCUACACACGUGCUACAAUGGCGACUACAGAGGGAAGCAAAGCCGCGAGGUGGAGCAAAUCCCCAAAAGUCGUCCCAGUUCGGAUUGCAGGCUGCAACUCGCCUGCAUGAAGUCGGAAUUGCUAGUAAUGGCAGGUCAGCACACUGCCGUGAAUACGUUCCCGGGCCUUGUACACACCG
rnacentral:rRNA from 1 species